AAUAACUUAAGACCUCGUUCGGUUAGUAAGAUUAGCCAUAUUUAAUCAAAUUAUUGGACACCUAUUGGCUAAUCUUAUCUUAGAAGCCAAACGAGGCCUAAAUGAAUUAAUAUGAUUUGCCAAAUAUAUUUACAAAAUUUUGAUUUUAUUCAAUGAUGCAGGGGAUAGAAGGAUUCAGAGAAGAAAUAGUGAAAAGAAUGCCACAAUUAAGUUUAGAGAGAGCUUCUUCGGAAGACCUCGUCGACGCCCAAUGGGAGAGGAGAGACUAUUUCGGAGCUCACCCACAGAAGCAAGAGGGCCUUAGCUUCGUAGGUAUCCACAUUCCAGUUGGGCGGAUCCAGG
rnacentral:lncRNA from 1 species